rnacentral:rRNA from 1 species
GAUGAACGCUAGCGAUAGGCUUAACACAUGCAAGUCGAGGGGCAGCACAAGGUAGCUUGCUAUCUGGGUGGCGACCGGCGCACGGGUGCGUAACGCGUGUGCAACUUGCCCUAUACAGGAGGAUAACCCGUCGAAAGACGGACUAAUACUGCGUAUGCUCACAACUUGGCAUCAAGUGGUGAGGAAAGAAAUUCGGUAUAGGAUAGGCAUGCGUCCCAUUAGCUUGUUGGUGAGGUAACGGCUCACCAAGGCAACGAUGGGUAGGGGAACUGAGAGGUUUAUCCCCCACACUGGUACUGAGACACGGACCAGACUCCUACGGGAGGCAGCAGUGAGGAAUAUUGAUCAAUGGGCGCGAGCCUGAACCAGCCAAGUCGCGUGAAGGAUGACCGUCUUAUGGAUUGUAAACUUCUUUUAUACGGGAAUAACAAGAGUCACGUGUGACUCCCUGCAUGUACCGUAUGAAUAAGCAUCGGCUAACUCCGUG